AAAAUAAAAUUUCAAUUGAUGAUGAGGACCAUUGUGUGAAUGUCUUGCAGGUAUUUUUUUAUCACUAAUCUUGAACCAGUGAAGACAAUUGAAUUUGUAAACUCUACCAUUCUUACCUGCAGGUUUUAUGAAGGUGUUGUGCAACCUUAUAACCCAGGAAAGAAGAAACAUGUAAUACUAUUUGACGAUGGAGAUGUGGAAGUUCUUCAGUUAUAUAAGGAGCAGGGGGAGGUUAUUAGUGAAGGUUCCGAUCCUAUCAAGUGACCUAAAUCAUCGAAUGUUUCUCCAUCCAAAGGAAUGCUAUUGCACAGGUAAUAACAGAAGCUAUGAAGACAGUUCUUAUGACAUGAUUUUACACUGAUUUUCUCCUCAUCUAUUUUUAUGUCUUGGCUUCAAAUAGGCUUGAGCAGCUGCAGAUGUUAUCAGUCCCACUGAUAUG